UACGGGGGGAGCAAGCGUUGUUCGGAUUUACUGGGCGUAAAGGGCGCGUAGGCGGUCGUGACAAGUCACUUGUGAAAUCCCUCGGCUUAACCGGGGAACUGCGUCUGAUACUGGAUGGCUUGAGAUUGGGAGAGGGAUGCGGAAUUCCAGGUGUAGCGGUGAAAUGCGCAGAUAUCAGGAGGAACACCGGUGGCGAAGGCGGGUCUCUGGGCCGAUACUGACGCUGAGGAGCGAAAGCGUGGGGAGCGAACAGG
rnacentral:rRNA from 1 species